GAAAACUCCGGUGGUAUGGGAUGGGCCCGCGUCUGAUUAGCUCGUUGGCGGGGUAACGGCCCACCAAGGCGACGAUCAGUAGCCGGCCUGAGAGGGCGGCCGGCCACAUUGGGACUGAGACACGGCCCAGACUCCUGCGGGAGGCAGCAGUGGGGAAUAUUGCACAAUGGGGGAAACCCUGAUGCAGCGACGCCGCGUGAGCGAUGAAGUAUCUCGGUAUGUAAAGCUCUAUCAGCAGGGAAGAAAGUGACAGUACCUGACUAAGAAGCCCCGGCUAACUACGUGCCAGCAGCCGCGGUAAUACGUAGGGGGCAAGCGUUAUCCGGAUUCACUGGGCGUAAAGGGAGCGCAGGCGGCACGGCAAGUCUGGUGUGAAAACCCGGGGCUCAACCCCGGGACUGCAUUGGAAACUGCCGGGCUGGAGUGUCGGAGGGGUAAGCGGAAUUCCUAGUGUAGCGGUGAAAUGCGUAGAUAUUAGGAGGAACACCAGUGGCGAAGGCGGCUUACUGGACGAUGACUGACGCUGAGGCUCGAAAGCGUGGGGAGCAAACAGGAUUAGAUACCCUGGUAGUCCACGCCGUAAACGAUGA
rnacentral:rRNA from 1 species